rnacentral:rRNA from 1 species
GGAAAAGAAACUAACAAGGAUUCCCCUAGUAACUGCGAGUGAAGCGGGAAAAGCUCAAAUUUAAAAUCUGGCGGCUUUGGUCGUCCGAGUUGUAGUCUGGAGAAGUGCUUUCCGCGCUGGACCGUGUACAAGUCUCUUGGAACAGAGCGUCAUAGAGGGUGAGAAUCCCGUCUUUGACACGGACUGCCAGUGCUUUGUGAUGUGCUCUCAAAGAGUCGAGUUGUUUGGGAAUGCAGCUCAAAAUGGGUGGUAAAUUCCAUCUAAAGCUAAAUAUUGGCGAGAGACCGAUAGCGAACAAGUACCGUGAGGGAAAGAUGAAAAGCACUUUGGAAAGAGAGUUAAACAGUACGUGAAAUUGCUGAAAGGGAAACGCUUGAAGUCAGUCGCGUUGGCCAGGACUCAGCCUUGCUUGUGGCUUGGUGCAUUUUCUGGUUGACGGGCCAGCAUCGAUUUUGACCACCGGAUAAAGGGUAGGGGAAUGUGGCACCCUCGGGUGUGUUAUAACCCUCAGUCACAUACGGUGGUUGGGAUCGAGGACCGCAGCACGCCUUUAUGGCCGGGGUUCGCCCACGUUCGUGCUUAGGAUGCUGGCGUAAUGGCUUUAAACGACCCGUCUUGAAACACGGACCAAGGAGUCUAACAUGCCUGCGAGUAUUUGGGUGGAAAACCCGAGUGCGUAAUGAAAGUGAAAGUUGAGAUCCCUGUCAUGGGGAGCAUCGACGCCCGGACCUGAACCUCGGUGAUGGAUCUGCGGUAGAGCAUGUAUGUUGGGACCCGAAAGAUGGUGAACUAUGCCUGAAUAGGGUGAAGCCAGAGGAAACUCUGGUGGAGGCUCGUAGCGAUUCUGACGUGCAAAUCGAUCGUCAAAUUUGGGUAUAGGGGCGAAAGACUAAUCGAACC